UAGCUCAGUUGGUAGAGCGCUAGCCUUCCAAGCUUGAUGUCGCGGGUUCGAGUCCCGU
rnacentral:tRNA from 1 species